rnacentral:snoRNA from 10 species
UUUACCAGUGAUGAGAAUGUGUUUUGAACCUGGGAUUAGAUCAAUCCAAUUAUCUACACCUGAAGGGAAAAA